rnacentral:rRNA from 1 species
GAGCGCGUGUAGCAAUACACGAGCGGCAGACGGGAGAGUAACACGUGGGAACGUGCCCUUCGGUUCGGAACAACCCAGGGAAACUUGGGCUAAUACCGGAUACGUCCGUAAGGAGAAAGAUUUAUCGCCGAAGGAUCGGCCCGCGUCUGAUUAGCUAGUUGGUGAGGUAACGGCUCACCAAGGCGACGAUCAGUAGCUGGUCUGAGAGGAUGAUCAGCCUCACUGGGACUGAGACACGGCCCAGACUCCUACGGGAGGCAGCAGUGGGGAAUAUUGGACAAUGGGCGCAAGCCUGAUCCAGCCAUGCCGCGUGGGUGAUGAAGGCCCUAGGGUUGUAAAGCCCUUUCGGCGGGGAAGAUAAUGACGGUACCCGCAGAAGAAGCCCCGGCUAACUUCGUG